rnacentral:lncRNA from 1 species
CAUGAGAGAAGCUUGCCAAAUUGCGUAUUUGUCAUUUUCCUAUCUCCAUUCAAAAAGGCUUAUUUCCUGAUAAACAUUUCAGACUAUGCAAAUUAUAUAUUGCAAGCGUAUAUUUCAUUGUAAUCGGCUUUCGUCCAAGGAAAAGCAUGUGAACUUUGGAACCAAAGAAAUUCUUUGUACACCACGUAUGGUAAAGUAAAAUUGAUGUAUAGCACACCCUUUAAUUACAUGAAACCACAUAGCAUAAUUAAUAAUAGGACAUAUAUUUAAUAUCGUU